GAUGAACGCUGGCGGCGUGCCUAAUACAUGCAAGUCGAGCGAACAGACGAGGAGCUUGCUCCCCUGACGUUAGCGGCGGACGGGUGAGUAACACGUGGAUAACCUACCUAUAAGACUGGGAUAACUUCGGGAAACCGGAGCUAAUACCGGAUAAUAUAUUGAACCGCAUGGUUCAAUAGUGAAAGACGGUUUUGCUGUCACUUAUAGAUGGAUCCGCGCCGCAUUAGCUAGUUGGUAAGGUAACGGCUUACCAAGGCAACGAUGCGUAGCCGACCUGAGAGGGUGAUCGGCCACACUGGGACUGAGACACGGUCCAGACUCCUACGGGAGGCAGCAGUAGGGAAUCUUCCGCAAUGGGCGAAAGCUUGACGGAGCAACGCCGCGUGAGUGAUGAAGGUCUUCGGAUCGUAAAACUCUGUUAUUAGGGAAGAACAAAUGUGUAAGUAACUAUGCACGUCCUGACGGUACCUAAUCAGAAAGCCACGGCUAACUACGUG
rnacentral:rRNA from 1 species